GCCGUUGUAGCUCAGUUGGUAGAGCGCGUCCAUGGUAAGGACGAGGUCACCGGUUCAAUCCCGGUCAACGGCU
rnacentral:tRNA from 1 species